rnacentral:rRNA from 1 species
GACGUAGGGCGCGAGCGUUGUCCGGAUUUAUUGGGCGUAAAGAGCUCGUAGGCGGCUUGUCGCGUCGUCCGUGAAAACCUGCGGCUCAACUGCAGGCUGGCGGUCGAUACGGGCAGGCUGGAGUUCGGUAGGGGAGACUGGAAUUCCUGGUGUAGCGGUGAAAUGCGCAGAUAUCGGGAGGAACACCAAUGGCGAAGGCAGCUCGCUGGGACGUUACUGACGCUGAGACGCGAAAGCGUGGGGAGCAAACAGG